CACAGAGUGUCCAUCCUGACUCUAACAGUGACACGUACACAGCUCUGAACAUGAGGACCAUGUCCCCUGACGAUGACACCCCGGCAAGUGACCCAAACAGUGACACGUACACACCUCUGAACAUGAACACAAUGUCCACAGAGUACAACACCCUGGCAAGUGUCUGUCCUGACUCUAACAGUGACACGUAUACAGCUCUGAACAUGAGGACCAUGUCCCCUGACUAUGACACUCUGGCA